rnacentral:rRNA from 1 species
UGGGGAAUUUUGCACAAUGGGGGAAACCCUGAUGCAGCGACGCCGCGUGAUUUAGAAGGCCUUCGGGUUGUAAAAAUCUUUUCUAUGGGAAGAAAAUGACAGUACCAUAGGAAUAAGGACCGGCUAAUUACGUGCCAGCAGCCGCGGUAAUACGUAAGGUCCGAGCGUUGUCCGGAAUCAUUGGGCGUAAAGGGUACGUAGGCGGGUAAGCAAGUUAGAAGUGAAAUCCUAUAGCUCAACUAUAGUAAGCUUUUAAAACUGCUCAUCUUGAGGUAUGGAAGGGGAAGUGGAAUUCCUAGUGUAGCGGUGAAAUGCGCAGAUAUUAGGAGGAAUACCGGUGGCGAAGGCGACUUUCUGGCCAUAACCUGACGCUGAGGUACGAAAGCGUGGGUAGCGAACAGGA